AGAGUUCUUUUUUUUCUGCUCAAUGUUGGUGUUGUCUGAGUGCAGAAGGGGGGUUCCACCUUGGCUCCAAGUAGAUUUCACCUAACCUUGAAAAGGACUUUAAUCAAAUGGUCGCUGUUAUUCUAAGUGAUAAAGUAUUACACUGUAAAAAUAAUGCUAGUUGCGGAUGCUGAAGGAGUGGAGUUUAAUACUGCAUCAUAUGUGUGUGUGUUAUUCCUGUAACUUGUGUGACCCGCGGGGGGAGUGUGAGUGAGCGCUGUGUGUGUGUGUCUGUGUUUGGCGUUUGUGUGUGUGAAAGGCUACUCUGCCCUGUGCUGGAGUAUGACUCCAGGGCUGUGUUGGGGGAGUUUGGGUUUAUUUUUCCGCUAUUCUUUAGUGCAUCUGAAGAAUAGGCGUAAGUUGCGCAGAAGUAAAAAGUUGAAGUGAUGAAAAGUGAUAAAACGUGAUGAAAAGUGAAAUAUAUGUCGGCACCCCCAAGGUGGUUACCGCUGGAAACCUAGUUAUCCAUUUAGGUAGAUAAGGUGACACAGGCUAACUAGGUUAACCAUUUAAUUGGUUAACCUAGUUAACCCAAGUGAAUUGCUAGGUAGUCAGGACUGCUCGGGCUUUGGGGAAUUUUUGGAGAUAAA